rnacentral:rRNA from 1 species
GAUGAACGCUGGCGGCGUGCCUAAUACAUGCAAGUCGAGCGAACAGACGAGGAGCUUGCUCCUCUGACGUUAGCGGCGGACGGGUGAGUAACACGUGGAUAACCUACCUAUAAGACUGGGAUAACUUCGGGAAACCGGAGCUAAUACCGGAUAAUAUAUUGAACCGCAUGGUUCAAUAGUGAAAGACGGUUUUGCUGUCACUUAUAGAUGGAUCCGCGCCGCAUUAGCUAGUUGGUAAGGUAACGGCUUACCAAGGCAACGAUGCGUAGCCGACCUGAGAGGGUGAUCGGCCACACUGGAACUGAGACACGGUCCAGACUCCUACGGGAGGCAGCAGUAGGGAAUCUUCCGCAAUGGGCGAAAGCCUGACGGAGGAACGCCGCGUGAGUGAUGAAGGUCUUCGGAUCGUAAAACUCUGUUAUUAGGGAAGAACAAAUGUGUAAGUAACUAUGCACGUCUUGACGGUACCUAAUCAGAAAGCCACGGCUAACUAUGUG